AUCAUUAAGUUUUUUAUAAGACCUAUAUGAAUUUUCUGAGAGGUUAAAUAUGACAUCAAGAAAAUGAUAAUUUUGUCAAGCUGAGGCCCUGAUUUUUUUUUUUCAUUAUUGUUAAACCAUCAUCGUGAUACAAGCCUAAAGCCUGAUUAAAAUGAACUUUUUUAGCUAGGAAAGUUAAAAUAUAUAAGCUUACAAAUUUGCAAAUUUCUGCUCCAUUGUAACUACCCAUUGUUACAUCAAAGCAUUUGUGUGUGGUUUUUUUCUUCCACGUCUCGUUAUUAAAAAAGAGUAAAGUUUUUCUGCAAUGUCUAAUGUUUAACCACCCAAAGGAGAACAAUGAGAAACUGAACACAAAUUAGGCACAGAAACGAUACACAAAUCAAUGAGUAAAGCACAACUGAUCAUUUGGAAAAAAUUUUAUGUGAUGACAAUGCUUUUUUAGAUGCAACUUAUCAACUGGCUCGUCCAUAUUGAGAAACCUGCAUGUGAUCUUAAUCAGCUAAUGAAAAGUUUUGUUGUUUGUGAUUGCUUAGUUUGCUCUCUUAUAAAAGUCAUAUAUUUUUGUUUAAUAUCUUUAUGUAUUCGUAACAUUUAAUGCAUUUAGAAAUAAUA